rnacentral:rRNA from 1 species
CACGUAGGGUGCGAGCGUUGUCCGGAAUUAUUGGGCGUAAAGAGCUCGUAGGCGGUGUGUCGCGUCGGCCGUGAAAACCUGCAGCUUAACUGUGGGCUUGCGGUCGAUACGGGCAUCACUGGAGUUCGGUAGGGGAGACUGGAAUUCCUGGUGUAGCGGUGAAAUGCGCAGAUAUCAGGAGGAACACCGGUGGCGAAGGCGGUUCUCUGGGCCUGUACUGACGCUGAGGAGCGAAAGCGUGGGGAGCGAACAGG